rnacentral:rRNA from 1 species
CCGGCGACCGGCGCACGGGUGAGUAACACGUAUGCAACCUGGCCGUGACAGAUGGAUAACAGGGAGAAAUCCCGCCUAAUACAACAUAAUGCCGGGAGGGGACAUCCCCUGCCGGCCAAAGGGGGCGACCCCGGUCACGGAUGGGCAUGCGGCGCAUUAGGUAGUUGGUGGGGCAACGGCCCACCAAGCCGACGAUGCGUAGGGGUUCUGAGAGGAAGGUCCCCCACAUUGGAACUGAGACACGGUCCAAACUCCUACGGAAGGCAGCAG